AAUCAUGCCUGGGCUUCUAAGACCCACUCGAGAAGGUGUCUAGGGUGAGACACCUUCCGCUAUUCGAGAGGGCGCCUGCGGCCUACGUAUUACUAUACAAUUGGUAAACACAAUGGUAUACUUAAUGCUUGAGAGAGGAAUGAGGGGUAAACAUUCCUUAGACUCUUACUAUUGAGGAAACCAGACCAGCCAUUCAAGUGAUGAAGACUGUGUCAUCCAACUAAUAACUCCUGUAAAAGACUCUGAUGAUGGGAAGUAUUGAAGGCGGGAGGAAAACGGAGCAGCAGAGGAUGAGAUGGUUAGAAAGCAUCACCGAUUCAAUGGACACGAGUCUGAGCAAACUCCGGGAGAUAGUGAAGGACAGGGAAGCCUGGUGAGCUGGAGUCAAUGGGGUCACAAAGAGUUGGACACAACUUAGCAACUGAACAACAACAAAAUGGCUCCUGAUUAAAUGUAGAUUUGUUCAGCAUGCUUUUUCAAUGUUUUACGUCUUAAACCUCAGACUAAACCUCAGAAAUAUUGAGUCAAUGAUCUCUAAUUCCCUGUUCAAAAUUUCCACAAAGCAGAAGCCUAAAUGUCUCCUUUGUUAUGACAAACAAAACCAAUAACAACACCAAAAUUUUUAAACUUCUAGGAUUUUGUGUUAGGUGUUACAUGAGUUUUACUUAUUAGAUAUGUGCUAAUAAUCUUUGUUAUUAAAGAGCAGAUAAAUUAACUUCACUACUUUGACCUCUUUGGCUCUGCCUCUUGCCACAUGACUUUUCAUUAGCAGUCU
ensembl:lncRNA